rnacentral:rRNA from 1 species
AUGGCCUCCACCCUCCCUCUCCAUCGACCUUCCCGAGCUCUCCCUCUUCGGGGGUCGCCGCCAUCCGAUGCCACGCGCCAUGAUUCCAGAUCGGCCGCAGGCCGAGAAAGAGCGGUUGCUGUAGUGAGGGCAGCAGGGUGCCCACCCCGGCGGCUGUGUGCAGAGGGGGAGAGGUCAAGGAUGGUUGCCCGUUCAUGGAGGAGAGAUGCAACACAGCAGAGGAUGAAGAUGGACCUGGCAGCAGGGAUCAUGGGAGCAACGGGAGUGGCUGGCCGCCCGAAGCUAGACGAGAAAGGGGGCAGCAGUGCAGGGACGGAAGAGGGUGUCCAUGUGCUAUCCAUUUCUGCUCAUCUUAAGCUUGCAGGGCAGAGGCUCUAG